rnacentral:rRNA from 1 species
GUGUCAGCAGCCGCGGUAAUACAGAGGUGGCAAGCGUUGUUCGGAAUUACUGGGCGUAAAGGGCGCGUAGGCGGUCUUGCAAGUCCCGUGUGAAAUCCCUCGGCUCAACUGAGGAACUGCACGGGAAACUGCUUGGCUUGAGUUCGGGAGAGGGAAGCGGAAUUCCGGGUGUAGCGGUGAAAUGCGUAGAUAUCCGGAGGAACACCGGUGGCGAAGGCGGCUUCCUGGACCGACACUGACGCUGAGGCGCGAAAGCUAGGGGAGCAAACGGGAUUAGAUACCCGUGUAGUCC